GAUGAUAUUGCAAACUCAAGCUGGGAGGAUUGUUUCUGGAGGAUGCCAGCAGCAGAGGGCUACUAUCCCCCAGACACGAGCACCAGAGCCAACUCUGCACUUCCACAAGGACACUGACUUCAGGAAAUAAUUUCACCUGCUCAAAACCUUUUUGUUGUGGCAGUUCAGUGCCUUUGAGCUGUGCUUGGAGACCUCACGAACCAUACCUAAGAAAAGUGAUGAUUUAGCAGCUACAUAUUCUUUUGUGCCAGCCAGGUCCUUGAGUCUCUCUGGAAAGAUGAGCAGGGCCCAAGUGCCCCACACACUACUCAAGCAAUGACAGAGAAGGGGAAUAAAUGAAUCUUGCUAUCGCUUAGUUAGUGAAUGUAUUCCGAAUCUGUCAUGAAGGUACGUUCCAGUUCUGGUUUCAAGAACAAGAGGAUAGUCGAGACUUUUGUGGCAUCUAAUCAGAGCCUUCCCAAUCAAAUCCCAGCAAGCAAACCCACCAGCACGUUGGGCAGGGUAAGGUGGUGGUGCUGGGAAUGCUGCUGAGGAAAGUGAACUCCAGGAGUGGUGAGACCAGAAAUGAAUUUACAGCUUAGGCUACAUGGACUGUAAAGCUAUGCACACUAUGUACACUCCAUCUACUCUGUAGCUGUGCCUGACCACAUGGAGAAUAUCAGGAGUUUUUGGUGGUCACCAUGUAAUAUCUGUCACUGAUCUUAAAAUAUCCUAGGGCAAAAUAUUUUGGGGUUAGGUUAUAUUUUGGCCAGAUCAUAACAAUCAGAUACGUAGGCUUUGUAAACCAGGUUGAUGUCUCUUAACUUGUGUACUUGGUAACCAGCUUUGUGUCUGGUUAUUUCUGGUUAGUGUUUUACAGUACUACGUGAGCACUUCACCAUGUGCAGUGUAUUUCACUCUGCAACGAUUUGGUGAUGUAUGGAAUUAAUAUUAUGAAUCUUUACAGUUAUGGGCCUGGAAGUCCUAGAUGUAAACAAAUAAAUGCAUACAAG
rnacentral:lncRNA from 1 species